rnacentral:rRNA from 4 species
GCAGUCGAACGAACUCUGGUAUUGAUUGGUGCUUGCAUCAUGAUUUACAUUUGAGUGAGUGGCGAACUGGUGAGUAACACGUGGGAAACCUGCCCAGAAGCGGGGGAUAACACCUGGAAACAGAUGCUAAUACCGCAUAACAACUUGGACCGCAUGGUCCGAGUUUGAAAGAUGGCUUCGGCUAUCACUUUUGGAUGGUCCCGCGGCGUAUUAGCUAGAUGGUGAGGUAACGGCUCACCAUGGCAAUGAUACGUAGCCGACCUGAGAGGGUAAUCGGCCACAUUGGGACUGAGACACGGCCCAAACUCCUACGGGAGGCAGCAGUAGGGAAUCUUCCACAAUGGACGAAAGUCUGAUGGAGCAACGCCGCGUGAGUGAAGAAGGGUUUCGGCUCGUAAAACUCUGUUGUUAAAGAAGAACAUAUCUGAGAGUAACUGUUCAGGUAUUGACGGUAUUUAACCAGAAAGCCACGGCUAACUACGUGCCAGCAGCCGCGGUAAUACGUAGGUGGCAAGCGUUGUCCGGAUUUAUUGGGCGUAAAGCGAGCGCAGGCGGUUUUUUAAGUCUGAUGUGAAAGCCUUCGGCUCAACCGAAGAAGUGCAUCGGAAACUGGGAAACUUGAGUGCAGAAGAGGACAGUGGAACUCCAUGUGUAGCGGUGAAAUGCGUAGAUAUAUGGAAGAACACCAGUGGCGAAGGCGGCUGUCUGGUCUGUAACUGACGCUGAGGCUCGAAAGUAUGGGUAGCAAACAGGAUUAGAUACCCUGGUAGUCCAUACCGUAAACGAUGAAUGCUAAGUGUUGGAGGGUUUCCGCCCUUCAGUGCUGCAGCUAACGCAUUAAGCAUUCCGCCUGGGGAGUACGGCCGCAAGGCUGAAACUCAAAGGAAUUGACGGGGGCCCGCACAAGCGGUGGAGCAUGUGGUUUAAUUCGAAGCUACGCGAAGAACCUUACCAGGUCUUGACAUACUAUGCAAAUCUAAGAGAUUAGACGUUCCCUUCGGGGACAUGGAUACAGGUGGUGCAUGGUUGUCGUCAGCUCGUGUCGUGAGAUGUUGGGUUAAGUCCCGCAACGAGCGCAACCCUUAUUAUCAGUUGCCAGCAUUAAGUUGGGCACUCUGGUGAGACUGCCGGUGACAAACCGGAGGAAGGUGGGGAUGACGUCAAAUCAUCAUGCCCCUUAUGACCUGGGCUACACACGUGCUACAAUGGAUGGUACAACGAGUUGCGAACUCGCGAGAGUAAGCUAAUCUCUUAAAGCCAUUCUCAGUUCGGAUUGUAGGCUGCAACUCGCCUACAUGAAGUCGGAAUCGCUAGUAAUCGCGGAUCAGCAUGCCGCGGUGAAUACGUUCCCGGGCCUUGUACACACCGCCCGUCACACCAUGAGAGUUUGUAACACCCAAAGUCGGUGGGGUAACCU